AGCAGACAAAGCCCCGGGAAUCCAAGCAAUCUCCUUGGGGGUUACACAGAUAUAAAUAUGCAGGCCAGGAUCAGGCUGGAGAUGACUAGGUGGAUCCAAUCAAGGAGGCACAGGCCUCAGAAAAUCCAGUGUUUGAACCUCACCUUUUCUCCAGAAUUCUGGAUGUGCUGGCAAAUUUAGCCAGGAAAUGGAAUUGGAAUCAGUUUUCAGCAAGGAAUCUCCUACUCAGAGAAACAUGGGUGAGAAGAGGCUUCUGCUGCUGCUCUUUAUGCUAUCUGCUCCAUGAAGGUCUGCAGUCAGACAAGUGGGAAAGUGAGCCCUAAAGCAUGAAAAACUAAAGUGUUGCCUGCUGAAAUAUGGGUAGUUCACAAUAAAGUUUGGAAGAAAUUCCUCCAUUGAGUUGUCACAGUCACAUUGUAAUACAAUUCCUACAGUUCUCAGGAGGGCUGAGUUUCAAACAAGCAUACACUGGAAAUUGUACAUCAAGAUAUUUUAGCCUUUGUAAAUUUAGUUUUAGUUUUACUAGUUGAGCGCUGUCUCCUUUUUCCUCUUUAUUUCAUCUCUCCUCCUCUCCCAACACCAUCUUGUUUUGUUCUCCUUAUGCCGCCUGCCCAUGCUGUUCUGAUUCCGAGUCACCUUUUCUUCUACUCCAUGGCAUUUCAUUCCUCUUCUGUAGAU